rnacentral:tmRNA from 1 species
UUUUUAAUUGGCGAAAACAAUUACGCUCUCGCAGCAUAAUCGAAGUUUAGUAGAUUAGCUUUAUCCCGCACUAGGUGCGCGGACGAGACGGCUCGCAGGUGGAGAUGCUCAAUUCCGGCCUGAUUUCGAGUCGCAAGCAAUUUUGAGUUAGUUUCAACUAUGUUUCAGAGUUGGGAUGAAAUUAAGAAACUAAGGUGUUAACCAGGGUGUUUAUUCCCUUUUAAUACUCGAAAACCAAUAAUAAACUAAGCGUGUAGAAAGCUUAUCGGUUCCUUGUUUGGACGAGGGUUCGAAUCCCUCCAGCUCCACUC